AUGCAUGAGAAACCCAACCCGUUGCCGAGACAGAAACUCUAGAGUCUAGACACUUUCUUAUCUGCCUCCUCCCUCAAAACCGUGACUCCUCAGCAACGCACGCUUCUCUGUUCUUCGCAACCACUACCUCUUAUCGCAGUCACGCCCUCUUCUCCGCUGGAAAGGAGCUGUUACCGCCGACGGGGACAGACCGUGGGUGCCGUUGCCGCUUGUGUAAGGUCUGUAUCUCGGGCCCCAUCGCAUCGUUCCUCUUCUCGCCGUCGCCCGAAAGUCUACGUCCAGCUCCUCGCCUCGCAUUCGCCGUCGCGAAGGUUGCUUGUCGUCGUCCCUUCGAUCUCUCUCUCUUUCUCAAGUGUCUUUCUCUCCAUCCGAGUUCGGUCGUUUCUGUAGCAAAGGUUUGCUCUCUGUCCGAGGCUCCGAGCUAACUUCCCUUCCUCGUCGCCGUCACUUCCAUUCCACCCUCGCCACCGGGUUCGAUCCCGGUGGAACCAUUGAACCAGUCACUUGACCGGUUCAAUGACCAGUUCGGUUCUCGCAACCUUGGUCCCCAGUUCCAAUUACAAUUCCAGACGAUGGUGGUGGUGGGACUGGCCAUCACUCUCUCAAAGGCCUUCACUGAUUUCUCCUUGGCACACUACUCCCUCCAUCACCACCACCACCACCGCCUUCUCCUCUCAGC